AAAGCUUGCUGGCAGGGGAACAAAGUUCAUCUCUUCCUCCUUUGCCUGGAUGAUGGGAGAAGAGAUGUAAGACCCAUCAGACCCAUCAACUCAGAACCUGAACUUUGACAUUUCCACAAAAGCACAAGCAAUUCCUCAUCACUUCUCAGCCUCCUGGAUAAGAGAGCAUGACCUUCACAUUGCUAAGUGCGUAUCAGAAAAAGCAGUGAACUUGACAUUGACUCUACCCAGUCUGUGCUCUGACCUCUGCCUCUUCUCUAAGCAGAUACAGUCUGUGGGAGCAUCUUGACAUCCACCUGGGAAGUCCUCGCUCGUGGUGGGCAUGCCAUCUUGUUGAGAGGAAAUCUGCCCCCAGGUGAGGUGAUGACAAGGUUCCUGAGUACCAAAGUUUGACAUGAGAAACACAGGAAGUAUUUCUCUUAGAAGUUCAGAGAACAGGUAGAGUGGAUGGGUAUAAGCUGUUUUGGAGGAAGAAGUUCUGAGGUGCUGGAACACGGUCAGCUCUAAAAGAAUGAUUCUAACUCGAGCAUGGAUUGGAAUGACCUAGGUUUGUUCAAAUGGAGAAUUGGACUUAACUAACCACCUACCAUUCCACACACACCUCUAGCCUCCAUUUGGUGAAAACAAGGUGGGAGCCCAGAACUUGCGUUUCUAACCACGAACUCUUCCAUUUGCCUGCUCAUGACGCUGAGUGGGAACUUCUCUGAAGAACUCUGUGGUACAGCUGAGAUCUCCAACAGGGCUGUGGAAAGCUUUACAGAGCUCUCCCACAGGGGACAUUUGGCAAUGUCGGCACAUCUCUUGGGUGGUACAACUGCUGCUGGCAUCUAGUGGCUAAUGGCCCAGGGAUAGUGCUAAAUACCUCCCAGUGCACAGACAGCCCUUGGCAACAGCAAGAUAUAGUCACCAAGGUCAGCAGGACAGAGGUUGAAAAGUCACGCCCCUCUCAUCCAGCCUUUCUGCUCCUCACAAAGGAAACCCUGGAAAAUCUGAAGAGUCCUGAUGCCCUGGAGGCACCCAGGUCCCUGAAGUCAGACUCCCUGGGAAUGAGAGAUGGGGACCUAGGUGUCAAAGCUCUCUUGGUACAUAGCCAAGGUUGAUGAAAAAAGGCCUCUGAAGAAUGAAAAGUAUGUAGACAGGCCGAUGAAAAUGAUUCCAAAAUCUGUUUUGAAAAUCUGUAUAGCUAGGUCCCCAGGAGGGUGACCAACACCACAUUUCUCAGGCUCCCUUGUUCUUCAACUGCUGGAUUUAAGGCAAGAAUACUCAUCUUGGGGAACGGAAGCCAAUGGCACGGCUGAGAAGGAGCCGGCAGGUGGCUGCUCUCUGCUUUCUCUAGAUCUUGCCGUGAUUCCAGCAGUAGCUUUUUGGCCCCUGUGGCUUUAGAUAUUUGCGGGGAGGGGAGUUAUGUUUUUCACAGUUUUAUCUUUCACCCAGAUUCUGGUGAUCCCUCCAUCAUCCUCCCAUGUCCCUUUAGGCACUCCAUUGCCAAAGGUUGUUGUUAUUUCAAAGUGACGACGAUUUGGUGCCCUCAUCCCUAGGCACAUUUUUUUUUUUUGUGAUCUGGUUAAGUAAGAACUUCACUUGCAGGUGAAUGUGUUGCCUGUGUGUGCCAGACCCCAGGGCUUUGAGACAGGUUUUAUGGGCUCACAAUUCUGCUGAGGAAGGCCCCAUCCUGGCUUUGAUACUCAACCACGACAAUCCGGACUUCUUACUACACUGGAAGAAGUCUCUGCAUUAUUGAUCACUGGACUCUGAAAAACGGUGUUCUACCUGCUAUAAGACAGCACAAUGAAGAUGUGAUGCUACAAACACACUUAGUGUAUUUUCACAGUAGAACGCGGCUAUUUCUAACAUUGCAGGGAAGGGUAAUCUAAGAUCGCACUUACUCGAAAUUCUCAGGUGCUCAGAAAGUGGUGAUGGACUUAGCAUAUUGAAAGACAGCAUCACUUGGCUUCAGUGAGCUAGCUUAGGUGGUGGUGAGUCCUGGCCUAGGAGUAACCAGUUUCUCUUCUCAAAUUUUACUGAGGUGCAAUUUCCCAAUAAAGUUGUCCAUGUUUAAUGUC
ensembl:lincRNA 1700126A01Rik RIKEN cDNA 1700126A01 gene